ACAAAAUCAGUUUGAAUAAGAGUAAACAUUUACUCACCAAAUCGGUGUAUCGGGUAAAGAUCCACAGCAAUGACAACAAUAAUCUCUUGAGCUGAAGCUUCUCCAGGUUUGCUCAACAUAUUCCAGAAAAAAAUGCGGCACCACGAACAUGCGGACUGAUCCAUGCGAGGGAGGAGGAAGGUGUGACACUUUUCUUUGAUUGGAGGGACCACACUGGAGGUGCGAGGCCGUCUAUGCCAAUACAAAUGAGCUGGACUUGGGAGGAAAAAUAAGGACCAUACCAAGCAAAAGAGGGCAUUUAAAAAGACAGUGCUCUGCAGAUGGAUUUUUGGUAAGUAUUAUUGUUUAUUGUGGUUUUAUGAGGCUUCAGUGAACAAUUGAGGGAUCAAUUAAAGUGCUAGAUGAGUUUGUCAUUUCCUGUGUCAGGUGUUUGGUAGCCAACCAGACUGUGGAAUAUAGCACACAGCUGAACAAAGUGAGGCAGCAGUUUGCUGAUUUCUGCCCUGUGACUUACAUGUAAUCAGCCUAGUAGUUUAUAGGCUUUCUCCAUGCUAAAGACUUUUGACAAGAGGUUAUUUAUAUAUAAGCUCUAAUUGAGCCUCUUUUUUUCUGUUAAACUUUUUUUGUUUGUUUUUGUCCUAGAUGGCCUGACUCAACAGGUGGGGGUAAACACAAUUUCUGCAGAAAUUGCUCCGCUAUGCUCCCGAUCGGAUCGGUGGGCAGGUUGCCCGAUAUUCAGCCCGAUCCUGGAGUAAACUAAAGACAAUGACUUGUAAAUAAAACAUUUAACAAAAAAUGUCUUUAUAGAAUAAUUUUUUUUCUUGAUGCAAAGAUGUCUAUUAUCAUUUUGUUAAUUACAUAAUGCCUGAUGCUUAAUGUUAUAGGGAUAUUAUAAUGGACAUUGUAAAUUGAAAGAUAAUGUCUAACAUAUAAUGGUAUUCCUGUUUUAAGAUAAUACACAAUUGUCUUUUUUGCAGGUUGAAGUAUUGAUUGGUUAAUUUCCACUGGUUUAGUAUUGAUUGAAAUUCCAACCAUGCAAACGUUGUGGAAAAUAAACA
rnacentral:lncRNA from 1 species